CAAAGUCCAAUACGUCUAAACCAUAAUUAAGUCAGAAAAUUAGGAAAAAGUAAUUAACAAACAACCCCACCCCACCCCACGCCCUCACAUGCAAAUUCCAUUAUCUUUUUCCAUUCAUUCAUUUUGAGCCUCCCCCAAAUGCACACACAUAUUGUAAAGGAUAAUAGCGACUUCUAAUAGAGACAGAGAGAUGGACGCACCCGAGGUUCAAUCCAUUGAGACUUCCAGCAAAGACUUACCUCUUCCUCAAGAAGACGAACCAGACAAAGCUAUCAAUGAAUGGUAAAAUCUUUUAUUAUCUGUAUAUUUUGAUUGUUGUAAUUAUAUAUAGUGCAAGUUUGUAAAUUGUUGGUUCAUGAUGAAUUGCAGUUGCUCCUGCUUUUAUGACUGCACGGAUUCCCUCAUUGACUACUUUUGCUGCACCGACAUCUGUUAAUUUCUUCAAUUUUAUUUUCUUCUUGUAUUUAUUGGAGAUAUGCACAUCGCGCGGAUGUGCAUUUACUUCAUUUUUGUUCUUCAGAUCCGUUUCUGUGCUCCUUUUCGUUCUGAAUUAACUUUAUUUUCGUUAUAACACUAGUCAAUUUCAGCUCUCAGUUAUUUUCUCCUUUUAAACAAAAUUAAUAAUGCAAGAAUAUUUACUCAAACUAAUUGAUGAUUGCUAACGAGAUUUUAGCAAUUAAUGAUUGAAC
rnacentral:lncRNA from 1 species